AGAGAAAGGAUGUAUAGAGAAGAUGAGGAAUAGAGAGCAAUGGAGACUGGUUGUAGUGGAGGCCAAGGCUCACCUAGGGCAGGCAGGCAGGUAAGGAAUUUGCGGCGAGGGAUGUUCAGACAAGGGCCACUAGAAAGGUGUCUGAUACCUGGUGUGGUAUAUGAAUGGCUUACCCCAUUCCACCAGCCUAAUUAAAGAAACUUCCAGAACGCUCUCAACGAGUAAAACAAUGAAGAAGCUUCGAGAAUAAUCUCGAAGCAGAAGGUUCUAGAAUAUUACGCCAUCCCAUAGUAUUUAAAGUGACUGAUUUCAGAUGAUGGGAGACAGACAACAACAGACAUGAAGUAAGUAACAGACAGGUUAUAAGAGUGUGAUAUUCAACAUGUGUAUAGUAACAGUAGUAGUAUUCAUAGUGUGUGUAUAUGUAUCCAGUGCAUUCAUAGUUACCAUAAUUUUGGUGCAUAGUUGUGUAGGAGAACAGUUGUACCCGAACUGAAGUGUCUGAUUUGUAAAAGUGUGUAGUGCUGACAAAAUAAAUCAAGUACAUUAUUUCAUCAACUAAGUUGUGAUCCAGAGACUUCUUCCACAAAAACCUCUCUCAUCUGAGCAAGGCCCAUUUAGCCCUGAAGAGAAUCUCAUUGCUCGAACCCUGAACUUUGCUCCCUCCUCACUGCUCUCAAGCUCUUCUUUAAGACCAAGUGGCAUCAACAACAACAGCCGAGUCUAUGCCAUUAAGGACGAGAAUGGAAGGACUGUUACAUUCUGACUCACUGCUGCUUUCUUUUGAGGUAAUUUUUAUCACUGGAGUAUAUUACUAAAUGUGAGCCAUUUGUGAACAAGCUCAGUAAAAUCUGUAUGACAGUGUACAAAUAGCAUGAGCCCCCACACAAAAAUAAAAAUCACAGCAGAAAUUAAUAUCAAUAUGAAAUGUCAUAAACCACCUCAGACUUGGAUGCAUUCUUUGGAUAAAUGACAUAAGCUUCAUACUGAUAAUAACACUAUUUGUAUCUGACGAACACUGACUAAAAGAGGACUAGUUACAUGAAGAAAAAGGUCAAAAGGACAUUCAAACUGUAUUUAUAAUCCAAAAAAAAUGCUUAAGACUGAUCAAAAGAGUCAAUAACAGGGUAUCGUGUAGAGAAUUUUUUGGUGAAUUUAAAAUUUUAACCUUAACUUCAUUGUAUAUCUUUGAGA